CUACGGAGGGUGCAAGCGUUACUCGGAAUCACUGGGCGUAAAGCGCGCGCAGGCGGUCUUUUAAGUUGGAUGUGAAAGCCUACGGCUCAACCGUAGAACUGCAUCCAAAGCUAUUAGACUAGAGUGUGGGAGAGGAAGAUGGAAUUAGUUGUGUAGGGGUAAAAUCCGUAGAGAUAACUAGGAAUACCAAAAGCGAAGGCAAUCUUCUGGAACACUACUGACGCUGAGGCGCGAAAGCGUGGGGAGCAAACAGGAUUAGAAACCCUAGUAGUCC
rnacentral:rRNA from 1 species